rnacentral:rRNA from 1 species
AACGCUGGCGGCGCGCUUAACACAUGCAAGUCGAACGAGAACCAUUCCUUCGGGAAUGGGGAAAGUGGCGAACGGGUGAGUAACACGUGGGUAAUCCACCCUCGGCACCGGAAUAGCCCGGGGAAACUCGGAUUAAUGCCGGAUAGCCUCACGGGCUCUAUGGCCUGUGAGAAAAGGUAGCUUAGGCCUCUGGCCGAGGACGAGCCGGCGGCGGAUUAGCUAGUUGGCGGGGUAAUGGCCCACCAAGGCGACGAUCCGUAGCUGGUCUGAGAGGACGAUCAGCCACACUGGGACUGAGACACGGCCCAGACUCCUACGGGAGGCAGCAGUGGGGAAUCUUGCGCAAUGGGCGAAAGCCUGACGCAGCGACGCCGCGUGUGGGAAGAAGGCCUUCGGGUUGUAAACCACUUUCAGGAGGGACGAAGCUACUCGGGUGAACAGCCCAGAGGGUGACGGUACCUUCAGAAGAAGCCCCGGCUAACUCCGUGCCAGCAGCCGCCGUAA